rnacentral:tRNA from 1 species
ACUGGUAUAGCUCAAUUGGUAGAGUGCCUGCUUAGCAUGCUCGAGGUCCUGGGUUCAAUCCCCAGUACCUUGUA